UUUGGGCUUUCUUUACCGAGGUCUUCGGCAUGUCCACAUAUUCAAAGAAUGGCUGCACAACCACUGUAAAAUCCUCUCUGGGUCAGCCAGAAGGAGAGCCCCAUUGACAGAGAAUCCUCAUGUCUGACCUCCUGGGCCAGCCUCUUCCAUUACAAGCAUAUCCCUGAGUAAGACACAAGGGAAGGAGCGUGACCUCUCACAAGAAGACUUCCAGAAGAUACAAUCUCCUAAUAGUUGUGUGACUCUCAGCAAGCCCCUUCCCUCUCAGAACCUUCAUUUCCUCAUCUGGAUAUAAAGGAUAUCAGGCAAAGCCUGGACCAUCUCUUAAGCCCUUUCCAAUGCUACUAGUUCCUCUGGCGGUCAGCCAUGAUGGCUCACAGUGGAGCAAAGAAAAGACAUAGUGUAUCAAGCCCCUGGCAUUUGGGAAGAGCUAAACAAAUGACUGUGGUUAUUAAUAGCAAAGAUCAUCUUGAGGGAAAGGGAUGAGAACCAUAACUUUUGCAGAGAGAAGGGAAUGAGAUGAUCCUGAGAGGAUGAGAUGGCCUCACGUGACUGAUAUGUGCCUCCAGGACUCGAGAUCAUGGUCUCAGUGGUGGCCAAGAUCAGACCUGGGAACAGCCAGCCUAUCUUUGUGAACGCUAUCUUCUCAGUAUCUGAACUGACUUCCUAUGUUUGAAGACCCCGACCAUAGGAAGAACAGCCUGCCUCUUCAAGGAGUAGCUGGAAAAAUCAGAUCACCUCCCCAGCCUAUGAAGGAGGCCUCCAUCCAAACCCCAUCUCAGGGACAAGACGGGAUCCACUCCGCUGAUGAAGUUGGAAGCAUCAGGAAUCCUUGCUAAGGAAGGGCCUGGCUGCUCAACCUGUGCGCUGGGCCAAGGGAGGCUGAAGACAGUGUCCCUGACCUGGAUUUGCUCUUGAAAAUGAGACAGCUGCUUCCAACAUCUGUACAGGGAGGAGUGACUUUCAUGGAGCUGGCUUACCUUGUGGCUGUCUGAGGACGAUGCUGUGCGGAGGUGCACCUCCUUCUAAAUAAUAAUUGCUAAUAUCCACUGAAUGAUCUUCAAGCAGAGCUAGCUGGCAAAUGACUCUGAACCUUCAGGUUUAAUGGUCUAAAACCCCCAGGGAAGCAGCAGCAAGAGACUUUUUGGAGAGCUGCUCUGAAGCAGGAUGAACACACGUAACCCCUGUGUGGCCUAGUGACUGGAGAAAGUGGGAGCCGGUGGAUGUGUCAGCAGUUGAAAAUAGCAUGCCUGACACCAGCUGUGUUAAUAGGCGCAUGUCACCCGGCAGCCAUCCUGUCUCUGCUCUCAGCGCCCUGGGGCCUUCUCAGCGGGACCUGCGCAGUCCAGGCCCCCAGGCAGGUUCUGGCAUGGACCUUCAGGGGAUCAGCCAAAGUCGGCCUUACUUUCCAAGACCAAGUCUGGCCCUUGUGAAUUAUUCAUUCAGUCAUUCAGCAAGCAGCUGUGAGGCACCUACACUGUGCUAGCAGUGACUCAGAGUUCCCAGGCUGUGGGGGAUAAUUACCAUGUGGUAAUGACUAAUUACCUCAUGGUGUGUCAAGGCUGUGGAGGGGGCUGUGGGGGGGCAUUGCGCUGCCACUGUGACCUGGGCUAAUGGUCCAGAGGACUUGUAGGAAGGAAUGCUAUGGAAACAGUCACGCUUUGGUUAUAAGAGUAUCGUGUUCCCAAAUGUCACAGAAAUGUAUAAUACUAGAAGGGGCAGCCAUCUCUGUUUACCUGUGGAGGCUGAGGGUUAAAGCCGGCCUCACAGGGCCUCACAGGGUGGUUGUUCUCUAGGAAAGACUAUUCUCUGGACCUUGCUGAUUCUGACUUGGUCACCUUCUCCUUUAGGAAGUGAUAAUUUCCCUGUAUUUGUGAAUGUCCAGUCUGGAGCACACCUGCCAACCAGAGGCACUGUCCAUGUGGGGAUGGUGGUAUUCUGCACACACCAUGAAGUAGAUCUUCAUAGCAGCCUGAGUCCUCUUUGAGUACUGCCAACAUGACCUGACUUCACCCUUGAUAUCUUGUUCUCCUCUUCCUGGAGGAUGGGGGUUGGGGGGAGACAGUAACUGCUAUGGUAACAGUAGCAGGAUUGGGUUCCACACACACCCUGAGGGAAGUAACUGAGGCCUAUACUGGGGUCAAAAGUCCUGGGAUAUCCUUCCAUGAGAUUGCUCUGGUUUUUGUCUAUGUUUUUAUUUAUUCUCAUCCUCUCUCUCUCUCUCUCUCUCUCUCUC